CUGGGAGUUGCCUCUUCCUUCUCCAUUUGCACAAACCACGCUUCAGCCUCAAUCAGCCUGGUAAAAUGUUCACCUGCCAUCUCUCUGCUCUGCGACACGCUGGCACUUCACUCAUUUCCUCCAACAAGCUUCUUACCACUUCCCUCUGUGGCUAAUCUCUUCCCACCCUUGGUCAGUCUCAUCAACUCUAUUCCUUUGAAUCCCAAAUACUAAACAGUUCAGAUAGGUGAUGGAUUGAAAAUAAUCCCAAUAUUCCACAAGCAACAUCAACAUCCCCCACACACCCAGCACCGAGGAAUACCCUCCUCUCUAGAAUGUGAGGUCACUGUGUGGAGGAAGACACCACGGUGCUCUACUGAGCCAUGAAAGUCAUGCCUGACCUAAACAGAAGACUACGUCCCCUGGCUAAAAGAGGAAAGAGUCCACUACGUUGUGAGGAAGCCUAGGCCACAUGGAGAGGCCACAUAGAUGUGUUCCAGACAGCAGCCCCAGCAAAGGUCUCAAUCAACCACCAUAUGUGUGAGUGAAGGAACCUUCAGAUAAUUUUGCUUCCCAGAUUUCAAGUCUUCCAGCUGGGGUCCAAGACAUCACAAGGCAGAGACAAGCCCUCCUGGAAUUCCCCACCCACAGAAACCGUGAGCAUAAGAAAAGUGAAAGCGGUGUAAAUGGCUCUUAUCUGAACCACAAUGAAUUCACAUAUUCAAGUUGGCUUCUUCGGAAAUUUCAGGCCACAAAUGGCAGUGAUGCGACCAGGAGCAGUAACACGUGCCACUUCCAUCCGGACAGAAGGAACCCAGGUCAAGGCUGACAGGAGGAGCAGGAGCCGUCAAUGAGAGCAGACCUCAGAAGCCAACGGAGGUGAGAGGAGCACCAUCCACAGCCCCAUCCUCUGAAUGCUGUGGGAAGAAGUCCACAAAAUACCACCCCUUGGAGUCAGUCAGUAGCAGAGCCCUUGCUGCUGGCUGCAAAUACCCCAUCAGAACAUGUUUGGGGUGAUUCUUGGACCUGGUUUCAAUUUCUUUUCUGCCAGUCAGCAGUUGUGCUUGACUCACAAUUUGUUGCCAUCUCUUGAAUUAAACUCAGGAAACAAGAUAAAGAUCAGAACCACAUUGUAAAAGCUUCCUUAUGGUUCCUUUUUUGCUGAGAUAAAUAAUGAGCAGCUCUGAUCCAUCUCUCUGGAGAGCUCAGAGCACACUACCAGGAGCUCCUAGCCACAGAGUGAGCACAGGUGGCUGGUGUUCUCUUGAUGAGGAAAGACAGCAGUGUCCAAUCUACCCUGCCUUACAUGGAGCCCCGGGUGCUCUCCCGGACUGUGUUGCUACCUAAAGCACAUGGCAAUUGCAUGAUGCUAACGAGAGCAGCCCCUCACUCAUUAGAAACAUCUGCUUUGCAUUAUUUACACAGGCAAAGUUUUCCUUUUUACUGAGCCUACCCAGUUCAAACUUAAGUGGGAUUUGCCAGCUAUCUGGCUAAUUUUAUGAGCAAUAAUAAAGA